rnacentral:rRNA from 1 species
UACGGAGGGUGCGAGCGUUGUCCGGAAUCACUGGGCGUAAAGGGCGCGUAGGCGGCGCGAGUAGUCAACGGUGAAAGCCCGGGGCUCAACCCCGGGUCGGCCGUCGAUACUCUCGUGCUUGAGCACUGUAGAGGCAGGUGGAAUUCCAGGUGUAGCGGUGAAAUGCGUAGAUAUCUGGAGGAACACCGGUGGCGAAGGCGGCGUUCUGGACUGCAACUGACACUGAGGAACGAAAGCCAGGGGAGCAAACGGG